UAGAAAAUAGCAUAUUUGUUUUCGAAAGAGUUACUUGGAUGUUCAGUAUAGUUUUUUUUUUCAAGGGCAUGCUGAAUACCUUUUGAGCAACAAUGUGAAGUUUGUCUGUCCUUAUCUUUUUACUUAGAACAACAUGGCUGGCAAGAACUAAUUAAACAACAUAAAAUAGUCAAGAUUGAGUACAACUAGCUAGCUAAAUUUGAAAUCAAGAUGGGGAUUAUACAUAAGAUCCAACUCAGAUCUCUCAACUGAGUAAACUAAGCUAAAUUAUGCGAGAUGUCAUCCUAGUACCUAUCUGCUUAAGUAUUGAUAAGAUACGAUCCUAGUACCUGGGAUGUGUCAGUGUCAUUAAUUUAUAGCUGUCAUUUGCAUCAAAACAUGUGGUCAAAUCGAUCAGGUCAAAUCUAUGAAAUAAAUCUAAACCAUCGGUAAAUUGAUAUACGUAGCAUUCGACAUGUUCUAGCUUUCCGAUGCAUAUGACUACAAGUGUUCAGAUGCGCGUGAUCUUACAAUCGCCUAUACACGCUUGGUAAUCCUCAAAUUACUCGAGCUCAGGUUUGACAAGCGGACCCCAUCUAUCAGAUUCGGCUGGAACUGACAUAUAUGGUACAAUUUGGAAAAUGCAACACUAGAUGAGAAACAAAGUGUUCAAAGUUUUCAAAAUGGGAUAUUUUGUGUGAAUUUUGGGCAUUCAGGGGGUAUAAAAUGGAAUUUACUCUUUUAUAGUGGGUGCUUAAUUCUUGAUUUUCAUGGAUAACUAACUUAAUACCUAGCAUGGGUGCUCCAUGAUCUUGAGCCGCACCAAUCCUGAUAGGAUGUCCAGUAUGAGUAGUUGAUACUUCUACUGAUAUGCUUGCUCUAGCAACUCAUUUGAAGUGCAUACAUUUUCCAAAAGUGGGUGAAAUGGUUCAAAUAAGGGUAAAAUUAAAAUAAUUGCAGUGGUAUUCAUUAAAGAAUAUUAAUUCCUAGUUUUACGUGGACAAUGAAACUGCUUAUAUGUUUUCUGAAAGGCCUAGUUUUUUCUACAUCAACUGUGUGCCAAGGAUGCCAAUUGACAUUCAGAAAGAGGUCAUCGUUAGAUAGUCAGGAAGGUUAUUGGGAAUAAUACAUUCAUAAAGGGUGUGGCUGUAAAUGUUCCAUGAACAAAAGACAUUGCUGUACUGCGCCCACUCUACCCGCCAUUGCCCAGGACGAGGGCACCAAGCCUCAGCCUGGGGACACCGGCCAGCGGGGUCCCACCUCUGACCAGUCACAUGUAGCCACGUUAUGGGCUGGGGUCACACCCACGGAUGUGGGCCCACCGUGGGCACGGCCAAUCGAGGGUCGACAACGCCGUUCCUAGGCUCUCCGACACGGCCCGCUGUUUACGAUUAUCAUUGCCGGAAGUCACCUCGAGAACGAGACGCAGAGAAAAUAGGAUUAAAGAGGGAUGAUGCCUUUUCGUUUUUAUAUAAUUUUUCGGUGAUUUUUCUGCCUCACACGCGCCUUUCUUUUUUACUUUUCCUCGCCGGAUUCGCUACCCAACUUGGGGAAGACGAGGCCGCGCAUGCACCUUUCACGGCCGUGGGGUGUCAAAAUAGCUGCUCCUAUUGGAUGAUGGGAAAAGGCAGCACAGGAUAACGUCGGGGGGCGUACGGCGGGCCGGCGGCCACAUCGGGGCAGGUCCGUGGUACCAUAUUGAUUACUGCUAGCACAUCGCUGCUGCUGCUAGCAACUAAUCAGUGCGUUAAGGAAGAGGUGGAAGAACUGGUGCUAAUUAGUUGAUCUUGUUGUAUUCAAAUCUUUUUAUUGGAGGGCGAUUGAGGCUGGCAUUUUCUUCUCUGUAGAAUACAAAAGAAUGGAGUGCAACAGACAACAGAGAAACCAUCAUUGAUGCUUGCAUGGAUGCAAUACAAUUGAGCCGUGCAGGUGCAGGGUGGUACUACUACUACAAGCAGCACUUAAAACCUUGCGAGGUCUCGGCACUGGGAGGAAGAAAAAAAGGUUAAACCCUGCUUGGUAGAGGGAAAUUCAGCCACAAAAGACAGGAGGACAAGCAUGCGGCAAGUACUCUGGCUUUUCUUUCACUUUACCAUGGCACUUCUUAUCUCUUAGAUGUGUGCGCACACAUAUUUCUUUUGCUCUGUUGUUUUGAUCUUUUCAGUCAAGUUGUCGUUGGGAACUAGUACCGAGGAGAGUGAUACGGAUGCUGGUGCUAAUUUUGUACUCGCCUUGGGAGCUGAAUCAUGGAGAUGCUGCUGGUACACUGCAGCUCUGUGGGGAUUUAAUAACAUGCAUGCGUCCUCUCUUUCUCUCCCUAACAACCCCCUUCUUCUUCUUUCCUGUUUCCUUGCUUUUCAUGGAGGCAGGUUUUGGCCAUGCUGGUGGCCGGUGGGGUUUCAUCAAGUUCUUGUUGGGGUAAAAAUGGAGCAUGGAGUAAGCUAAGAGACGAGCCAUAUUUGGCAAGGAAGUUGGCCACACUUCUCUUUUGCCAGAUCUAGUUUGCAUCUUAGGUUAGGCCCCUUGUCUUUCUCUCUCUCCUGCCUUUGGGUGUCUUCUCUCUCUCCUUCGUUCUGUUUCUCACAUACAUUGUAUGUACUGUAAACUUCUGCUGUUGCAGUGUUACUGACGAGGAGGUGCUUCAGUGUCUUCCUUGCUCGUAUCUGUUUGUUUUACUUUACAUUUAUUCAGCUUUGUUUACAUUGUGGCGAUGCCAGCUGUUCGGUUACAAUUUGGUUUCCAUCUUGUUUGUGGUCUUCACUGCUACUCACGGGUGAUCCUUGCCAUUUUUUUUCAGGAUAAGGGCAUCAUGAUUUAAUGCCAGCUACACCACCAAUUUGCACGAGGUAAAGACACAAUAUCAUGACGGGUAAGCAGACUUCCAUGGAUUCCUGCUGAGCGAUUGAUUUCAUCUACCAGUGUGUCAGACAAGAUGGACGGCCCAAGAGAUGUUUGGGGAUCAAGGAAAAUAUUGGCAUCAAGACUGAAAUCGUUCCGUAGAAAUGCAGAAUGUACUGCUCCAGCCUCCAGGCGUCAACAGGGUGCUGCUAGACAAAAUUGGCAGUUUGCCACAUACAAGAACCGGCUAGCAAAUACUCCAGAACACAAAAAAUUGAAACUCUGAUGAGGCGAAAUCACAGGGUUUGUGCAGAAACCUAUCAAAGUUUUGAAACUAAUAGAGGCACUGAUGAUUUUUGAGGCGGUGAACCCCGUUUGCCAAGCUCCUGAAACAUCAAAUUAGUGAUACAAUGAGGACCAUUAUAUGUAUGAAAUCUCAUUACAAUUGUACAUCAGAAAGAGAGAAAGGCAGUUCAAAUUAUUAGCAGGUUAUAUGGAUUUUUCUGUUGAUGUC